AAGCAUUGUGUGGCUCCUGGCUGCCAGAGAGCAGAGUGUGGACAGCUUGGAGUGCUUUGGGUCUAAGGAAUGUUAUGUUGAAGCACAGCAGCCCCCUGUGAUUGGAAGCUCUCUGAAAAGGCCACACACGUGUUGAAGAUUCCUAAGACUGCAGAUGCUAAUUCCAGCUUGUGAAGAACUGGAGACUGAGAGCCAAGUGAUCUUCGAUGCUUAGACCUGUUAAUGGCCAGCCACUUCCUGUCCAUGUCUAUAUCUGAUCUGACAUCCUUUUUGACUAUUAGGCUUUGGCUGACCCAGGGCUGGGGUGGAGGGGACCCACUGCAUGAGAAUCAGCUGCAGACUGCUUCCUACCUUUCAUCAGCUUGUCCUCCCUCAUCUUCUGGAACCUUGGCACCCUACAUCUGGGCAGCGACAUGGUGCCUGAGGCUAAGUGUGCAGGGUGACUCUGCUAACGUGUGCGGUUCCUCAACAAAAUGUGUCCUCCUUGACCACGAAGUUUAAUGUGGGCUUAUGUGAUAGCUAAAGCCUAAGAAUGCAAAAUCAGAAAUUGCUAGCCAGCCGGGCGUGGUGGCGCACGCCUUUAAUCCCAGCACUCGGGAGGCAGAGGCAGGCAGAUUUCUGAGUUCAAGGCCAGCCUGGUCUACAAAGUGAGUUCCAGGACAGCCAGGGCUACACAGAGAAACCCUGUCUCAAAAAAACAAAAAAACAAAAAAAAGGAAAAAAAAAGAAAUUGCUAGCCACCCUUAUGGUGUGGGCCGGAACUGUCAAGUGUCACUUCCACCAUACUUUCUUAAUUAAAGUGAAGUGAAGGGUGAGCCCACAUAACUGGAGGUACCACAUGAGGUUGUGGGUACCAGCAGAUGUGGUCUCGUGGGGUAAUCUUCCAGUGCUAGCUACUUCUUUAGGGAAGGCUGCCUACACACUGAAGUUGUAGCUAUGAGAUGUAGUCAUGGAGUUUAGAAAUGGUAGGAAAAUCCUGAGUGGUCCUAUUUUCUGAUCUUGCUACUUUUAGCAAAGUUCUACAAGAGAGAAAAAGAUGGGGAAAUCAAGCGGGAACUAUUUUUCCUGCUGUUCACCUUGCUGAGGGGAGGAGCCCUGCUGUAACCUAUAAUCUGAUGUCUGAGAGGCCUGGUGCUGUUCACCUUGCUGAGGGAGGAACGCUGUUGUAACCUAUAAUCUGAUGACUGAGAGGCCUGGAAUUUUGAGUUUUGCAAAGUUGAAAGAGCCGUGGCUUUGGCAUUGAACCAGGUCUAAGCAGUAAUAUCUGAGUGGCAGUAUUAGCAGGAGUUAGGACUGCUGACUUCUUUAAAAGAGCUGAGAGCGAGCCUGAGGCCAACGGAGGAGCCAAGGGCAGAGCUUUCCCACUGAGGCCUGGGGUUCCAGAUGGCCUGAGGAAAUCCCUUGAUACACUCAGGGAGUGGAAGGCAGCUAUGUUUACCCACUAUACCACCAAUGCAUGCUACAUUAGGGGGGUGGCUAACUAGUGAGCGGUCAGAGUCUGGCCUGGAGAGAUGGCUCAGCAAUUGGGAGCACUGGCUGCUCUUCCAGAGGAUCCAGGCUCAGUUCCCAGCACCCAGUUACAAUCUUCUGUAACUCUAGUCCCAGUAGAUCUGAUGCCCUCUUCUGAGAGACCUCCUUAACUGCCAGGCACAUAUGAGGUAUAAAUAUGUAUAUAAUGACAAAAUAUUAAUAUGCAUACAAUAAAAAAUAUCAAAAAGUCCUGAGGGCAAGACCAAGGGGAACCCAGUGCCUCCACUCAUCUGCCAUGAGGUGGCAUGGGUGUAAUGCCCCCUUGCCACCUGCAGCUCAGUGGACCUGGCCAAGGGGAAGGAGCACAGGUGAGCCAUCCCCAAGGGUGUGAGAAGAGGGGAACUGUGCCAACCCCUCUCUGGCUGUAGCACAGCUGGGAGUGAGAGUUGAUGGGAGAAUGCCUUCUCUGAGGAUUUUAGGGUCACAGCUCUUUUAGAUGAUACUCAACAAAACAGCUCUCUUAGAAGAUCUUCAGUGAAACAGCUGGUGCGCACACACUUUUAUUCCGGGUAGACAAGGACUGUCUAAGAACCCUGGAGGGUGGGAAGGAAUUUUCAGAGUGAAUGUAAAAUCAUUGGCUGGAACUUAAUGUACAGUGAAUGCCUCAUUGUACGGAGAAGCAUUCCAGGAAUCCCAGGUACUUGCUGGGCGGAAAGAGGAAGUUGAAUUUAAAGGUUUGCCAAGGGCUACGACUGGACCUUCCUCAGGUAGAAGAGCGGGAUUGAGCUCCCUAGAGAAGGGGAAGCCCUGCUGGGAAAGGGUAGUUUUUCAUUUUGCACUGAGCUCAGAGGCACUCCCAGACGUGGUAGAAUUUGACCUUAACUAUCAGGGUUUCCCACUACAGCUGGCUCUGGAGGCGUGGCUUCAGGUGAGCUGGCCAGAGGGCUUGAAAGCAGAAAUACUGAGCCUGCCUCCUACUGAUGGCAGCAUCGGGCAGCCUAGUUGGAGCAGUGCUGGAGAGCUUGCCUUGGUGGUGCUCAGAUAAAGGAGAGCCAGAGGGCUGACCAGCUCAGCUACCUACCACGCAGGCGCAGAUCCAGGGCUUUGCAUUGGCUCAUCCCAACGUCUAUGUCACCUGUGAACUGUUGGGGCUUGUGAAAGGACCAGUCCUGCUGAUCCAAAUGAUCUCCAUGACAUGUGGCAACAGCAGGAUAACUGAGCCAAGUCCCCGUGAGGAUUCAAUAUUGAUGGUGUCACAGAAGCCAGAGACGUCAAACCAGACCAAUGACUCAUUGCAAUGAACAUUUGCAAGUGAAGAUGUGUGGACAGAGGGACAUACUGUGGUACAUCCUGUAACAUACAGCAGCUUCCAUGACGGGAUGCUUUCUCUCUUUCAUUUUUUUUUUUAAAGCUAAAUGGUCUUUACCUCAGUUCCUGCCC
rnacentral:lncRNA from 1 species